AUGGCACCAGGACCGCUGCCGGAGUAUCAUUUGAGAAAAAAAGGACCGCCGCCAGCCCUCCCGGACGAGCUCGUAGGAGAGAUCCUACUCCGCAUCCCGCCCGACGACCCCGCCAGCCUCCUCCGUGCGUCCCUCGUCUGCAAGUCCUGGAGCGAGGCCGUCUCCCAACGCUGGUUCCGGCGCAACUUUCACAAUCUCCAUCCAUCACCCACCGUGCUCGGGGUUCUUCAUGACUGGCACGAUGAGGCCAUCCCUACCUUCAUCCCGGCCACCGCGUCGCCGUUCGCCCUCGCCACCCCCGACCGCUUGCUCUAGCAGGCCGUCGACUGCCGCCACGGCCGUGCCCUCUUCCUCUCCAAGGGUCGUACCGAAGAAUUCAUCGUUUGGGAGCCAAUCACGGGUGCCCAGCACCGCGUAGCUGUGCCCUUGGCCUUCCAGUUCGGCCACACCACGGCAGCCGUGUUCUGCGCAGCGGACGGGUGCAACCACCACGAAUGCCACGGGAGUCCCUUCCGGGUGGUCUUCGUUUCCUCCAUCUAUGACAAAGACGCUGACGACAACCCGUUUACCACGUCGGUGUGCGUCUACUCGUCUGAGGCUGCAGCCUGGGGAGAGCCGACCUUAAUGCACCACGAAUUCAUCGUGGACUUCACAUAUUAUUCCAGCGUGCUUGUUGGGAGGUCUUUCCUGUACUUCAUGACAUGUUGUGGGUUUAUCCUAGAGUAUGACUUGGCAAGACAUGGGCUGACUUGGUUCGACACACCAGACUCUUGCUACUCUAAGGGUUGGCCCACUUGCAACCUCAUGCUGGCGGAGGAAGGUGGACUGGGACUCGUCGAAGAAUUGGAUCCCCAUCUGCAAUUGUGGUCAUGGGAGGUGACGGAUGCCCGAUGGGUACCAGGCCGAAUCAUCUACCUGGAAAGUUUCUCCCUAAACGGUGCUCCAGUGAGUGCAUCAUGUCCGGCGCAUGUGCUGGGCUUUGCCGAGGGAGCAAACACCAUUUUCGUGACCAUGGCUGCUGGCCUCUUCGCAGUCCUAGUACAAUCAGGGAAGGCAACCAGGGUGUGUGAUGAUCAUGGAUACGGUAAGCUGAUUCCGAUCGUCGGCCUUUACACUCCUAUGCCCCGAGGUGAGCACAUCAGAAAAUUGUCGGCUUCGAGUGGUCAGCUCUCCAUCAAUGGAAACUUCCCUGAGGGAGGUUAG
rnacentral:rRNA from 1 species